rnacentral:rRNA from 1 species
GACGAACGCUGGCGGCGUGCUUAACACAUGCAAGUCGAACGGAAAGGCCCUGCUUUUGUGGCGUUCUCGAGUGGCGAACGGGUGAGAAACACGUGAGUAACCUGCCCUUGACUUUCGGGUAACUUCAGGAAACUGCGGCUAAUACAGCAUAGGAGCUCCUGCUGCAUGGUGGGGGUUGGAAAGUUUCGGCGGUUGGGGAUGGACUAGCGGCUUAUCCGCUUGUUGGGGGGGUAGUGGCUUACCAAGGCUUUGACGGGUAGCCGGCCUGAGAGGGGGACCGGCGACAAUGGUCCUGAGAGACGGCCCAGUCGGGUACGGGAGGCAGCAGGGGGGAAUAUGGCGGAGUGGGCGGGCGCGUGAUGCAGAGACCCUGGGUGCGGGAUGCCCGGCUUCGGGUUAUAAACCGAUGUGGACGGUGACGAAGAGGGAGUGACGGUACUGGGUAAGGAAGCAACGGCUAACUACGUG